rnacentral:rRNA from 16 species
UUUUCAUCGACCCGUCUUGUAACACGGACCAAGGAGUCUAACAACCCUGCAAGUCAUUGUGGUUUCUUUCACAUAGGCGUAAGAAAACUGAGAACUGCACUUGUUUCACGUACGAUAACAGAUUGGGCUAUUGUUGCGGACACAUGCACACUGCAAAUGCAGGAGUGGUAGAUAAAAGUCCUUUUACUUGACAAGAAGCAUUCUCCAACGUACAACAGGCAACAACGGCAGUGACCGGGCUAGGUUGGUAUAGGGCUAAAUGCACUUUACCUUGAAGGUUCCGGUGUUAGCAUUGUUGUUAGGACCCGAAAGGUGGUGAUCUAUACCUGGGCAGGGUGAAGCCAAUAGAAAUGUUGGUGGAAGCCCGAAGAAGUGCUGACGUGCAAAUCGCUUUUCUGACCUGGGUAUAGUGGCGAAAGACCAAUCGAACCACCUAGUAGCUGGUUCCCUCCGAAGUUUCUCACAGGAUAGCUGAGACUUAAUUAGUUCCAUCGAGUAAAGAAACUGAUUGUGGUCUUGGGGGUGUAUGCUCUUAAUCCCAUUCUCAAACUCUGAAUCGAUGUUGGACAAGCCUUGCUUUGAUGAAGGCGGUUCAAAAUGAGAGUCUCAAGUGGGCCAGUUUUGGUAAGCAGAAUUGGCGAUGCGGGAUGAACCGAGUGUUGAGUUAAAGUGUCCAACUACACACUAACCUAGAUCCCAUAAAGGGCGUCACGUGAUAUAGACAGCAGGACGGUGAUCAUAGAAGUCGAAAUCCGGUAAGGAGUGUGUUACAACUCACCUGCCGAACCACCUGGCCCCGAAAAUGGAUGACGCUCAAGUGUGUGACUUAUACUCAACCAUGGGUGUGUUAGCAAUGCCCAUGGGUAGGAGGGCGUGGGUGUCGCUUAGAAGCAUGAGUGUGAACCUAUGUGGAGCAGCAUCUAGUGCAAAUCUUGGUGGUAGUAGCAAUUAUUCAAAUGAGAACUUUGAAGAC